UAUAUCCCAAUCCAAUUUAUAAGUUCAAGUGACCUCAACUCCAAAAAUUUAUAAACGCUUUAUAAAUUUUUGGAGUUGAGGUCACUUGAACUUAUAAAUUGGAUUAUAUUCAAUCGCUCCACGUAAAAUAAAAAUAAUUUUAAUAAUUUUUUAUUAUUUCUGUUAUUUUUUUCUUCGUUAUUAUAUCCCAAUCCUACCGCACGCUAAAUACUAGGUAUUUUUUUGAGAAAAAGUCAAAAAAAUACAAAGUUCUUCGGACAACAUUUUCAAUGGCAUUUCUGAGUUCUUGAAUAAAACCUGAAUUAAAAUCAAAAAUAACUGCUAAAUUCGGACUUUUGGUUUACUUUUAUUAGACUUGUGAAGGGACAAGUUGUUGAAAGUAUCAAAAACACAGUGAAAAUUCUCUGAAAUAAAAGUUGUGUCAAUUUUUUUUUUUUGCUUGAACUGACCUAUACAUGUUUUUUAUGUAAGGAAGCCAUAUUUUGCCUAUUUUAAAUCGAAGGAAUUAUUACUUUUUAAGCUGCAAAUGAUUUUAUAUAAUUAUUUAAAGAAAAGAGAAAAUGUUUUUUAAUAUUUUUGUAUACCUACUAUAAUAUUAGGUACAUUUGCCUACAGUUGGUGACUAACAAAAACAUUUUCCUUAUGAAAUUAUCUUUCGAUAGAGACCAAAUUUGGGUGCCACGAGACUAUUUUAUUGGCAAUUGAAAAUUACAAUUGGUUGCCAAAUUAAUUUUCUAAAAAUUAUUUAAAAUCAAUAACAAUAAAUAUAAAAAAAAAAAAAAAAACAAUGACAACACUAACUUAUCUACAGUUAUAAAUGAUAACUUUUUCAAAAGCCUGAAUCUUACGCUUAAUUUUUUUUAAAUUAUGCUCAAUCAGUCGUUUUUGAAUUAAUCGAUUUCAAAUUCAAAGUUUGGGAAAAAAAAUUUGCAAAAACAUAUAUACGUAAUACUAAUUUUGUCAAGACCAUCGAUUUCAAAUGAACUGAUAAAAAAAAACUGCUUUAAUCAAUAUUUUUACCAAUCUACUACAGUCUACAGUACAAUAACAUUUGAUUUUGUGAGCUUGGUUCAGAAAAAUUAAUUUUCGUUAUAUGUUGCCUAAAUUUAUGUAGGUAUAAUUGAUAACUUUUCAAAUUAAAAACGUGUUAAAAGGGAUCGUACGUCAUUUUAUACGAAGAUCUAAGCAAGCAGAAAGCUUAUGGAAUGUCACAAGGAUAGAUUUUAAUUUAAAUUAUUAUUGAAAAAUACAGAUCAUCUGACCCCUUCUUUUACAGAAGAAUCAGAGUAAUUUAAGUGAGGAAGUAAUGUCUCUCUUAUGUAUCUAUAUUAAGGUGGUGCCAAAAUUCCUUGGUGGAUGAACAUCAAUUAGUCUCGCAGCUCAAUCCGGAAACUCCCAUAUAAAAUUAGAAAAUUACCUAAAAAAAUCAAAGGUAAUGACGUUUUACAUGAAAAUUUCACGUUGAAUCCGAGAGAGGAAGGGAGUCAAAUAAAAAUCUAAAAAAAUUAUGGAAAACUUUUUUUUUUAACCGGAUUGCGGCUAUCCAACUGCAUGUCCCAAAUAAGGACCACCCUAUCUAGGUAUAUACAUAUUUUAUACUGUAUAAAAUGUGAUAGAAGUGGGUUUUUGAAUAUUUUUAACUAUAAUUCGGGUUUUUUAUGACAAAAUCGAACGAACUGCUCCGUCAUGUUUCUAAAAACAUGAGGAGUAGCCAUAAUGAACAUACGCGUGCAUAGCCUUCUGUCAGAAUUUACAUUUUUGUUUUUCAUGAUUUUUGAAGUUAUAAUUCUUAUGGGACGGUGGGUAUGAAAAUUUUUUUUUUUUGACAAGAAUGUCAAAGGGAUUAUGACGCGAUUGCCAUCUCCGAGACAAUUGGGCAGCAGGGCUGUCGUUUCACCUUUGGAGUUUGUAGAACUCUAGUACUUAAAAAUGUAGUACGCAGCAGUACGGUAAAAAAAAAAAACACGGAACAAGGGCAAAGUUGCUAGUUUCAUGUCGCAAGUUGCAUGUGCCAAGUACCAAGUGGCAUGAAUCAUGGUGCAAGUGCAUGUGGCAUGUUGGAAGUACCACGAGACAUGUGGCAAGUUGCGCGUGACAAGUAGCAUGUGGCAAGUUGGAUGUGGCAAAAUGCAUGUGGCAAGUUGGAUGUGGCAAGUUGCAUGUGGCAACUUUUUUUUUUACGGGAGGAAAUCUUCAAAAGACACUUGGCAGUAUUCGACACCAAGUAGUGUGGGACUCUUAACCAAUAAAACCACCUCUUUAUCAGGACCAAUCUUGAGAGAUCGAUAUCAGAUUUUUCUUUCUUAAC